UACGUAGGGGGCAAGCGUUGUCCGGAAUUAUUGGGCGUAAAGCGCGCGCAGGCGGUCUUUUAAGUCUGGUGUCUAAGUGCGGGGCUCAACCCCGUGAUGCACUGGAAACUGGGAGACUUGAGUGCAGAAGAGGAGAGCGGAAUUCCACGUGUAGCGGUGAAAUGCGUAGAGAUGUGGAGGAACACCAGUGGCGAAGGCGGCUCUCUGGACAGUUCCUGACACUGAGACACGAAGGCCAGGGGAGCAAACGGG
rnacentral:rRNA from 1 species